AGACAAUAUUACAUGCACCUGACAAGUUACUUUGAAAUAAACUCCUCUUUCCAUCCAUCAAACACAUGCCCGAUACGCAAUUCUUUGCUUAGCUACAAAAUUAGAUUAACAAAUUAUUAUUUAUCUAACUCUCAAUAACAACUGACAUACUUUUUAAAGGCAUUCAUUCAAUCUCAAAUAAAAAAGUUAAAACUAAGACUAAGCAUAUUUUUUAGGCACAAGUCUCACAUGGUCAUAAUUCAUCAACUCAUUCCACUUCUUAGAGCCACCAAUUUUCUAACCUCAACAUCCAACAUAUUGAUCCGAUAAUUCAAAUCCCCGAACCAGAAAAUCUGGCUGUUAGUGACUGGAAGAGAGACAUACUAAUUGAAACUGACCCCUGCAACAGUGAGAAUGUGUCAUCACAUCACAUCCACUCAAUCCAAAUGUGUAGGUACAAUACAAUCACUGAUUGUUAGUGAUCAUAAAAAUAAAACUUUGCUAAUACAAGGGUGUCAAAUUCUACACUACUACAUUUAUUUCUCUAGUGUUUAUGAAUCUUAAGUAAGUAAAUCUUGAAAUGCAAUUCCUCAAUGCUUUGUGAUAUGUCUGCCAUAGUGAUGUCACAAUCAGUGUGGAACAUGCAUGUCUUACCUUGUUUCCCAUGUAGCCCAUAAGACCAACCCCAUAAAACCACCCACAGAUUUAUGUGAAACUAAAUUCAUGGUGAGCAAUGAAACACUAUGUUCCGACUGUCGCUCUUAAAAUGAAUCACACAAAAAAAAACAUAAAAAAUGAACAAUAGCCCUGCACAUAAAAAAUAACUGCUGAAAAGUUGUAGCAAUAAGAUUUUGACAACUUUUCAAUAUUAAAUGUCUUUCUUUCCAUAUAGCAAAAAAUCCUUCUAUUAGACCAAAAAUAAAUACAAUAAGAAAUACCAAGUCCAAUCAUACCAAAUAUACAAUUAUACUAACCUAUUCACAAAUGCAUCGUAGCAGAUACUAGAUAAUAAAAGAAGAAGCAUCGUACCAAGAGAACAUCUACUCAAUGAAAAAAAUAUUUCCUUACAAGAUUAAUUUUCACUAGCCCAUUUCAAGAAAAGCUACAUGAAACUUCCAUUUGUUCAUCACUACAUUGUAAAUCUGUGCAAGUGAUAAAGUUGUCUUGGUUGACUAGAUAGUUAGAUCUACCAAGACAAUUAGAAUAAAACUAAUGGAAGAUAAAUAAUCAUGAUGAAAGUUCUAGCAAAAUUCAAAGAUAUUGCAAAUCUUACCGACUAAUUCCAGAGCACAGACAAUGAUUAUCUUUGAAGUGAACUUAGGAAAAAACUCAUUUGCCAAAACUGCGAGAUAGAGCAAAGAUGUUACAACCAGAUUAUUAUCUUAUGGCAUUUUGAACUGUUAUAUUCUCCAGUAGAAAGAGUUGCAACCAGAUUAUUAGCUAUAAGUUUGGCAGAGUGUAAUGCUUGAUUCAACUAGUUCACACGGAUUUUGGGCCAUAGUUUUUUUUUUGCAGAACCUGCCUUUUUCACUAUAACAACCCCUGUUAUAGAGGAUGCUUCUGUAAUUUGUUGGAUGCUGAUGGCAAAACGAAAUCCAUUUAGGGUUAUGUAAUGAAUAAUAAAUAGGUAAACUCCCACCCCAUCCAAAUGCUUUCGGAAAAUGCUUUCCGUAAAAAGAGGGAUUGAUUCGUUUCUGGAAAAAAUUUCCAAAAACAAAAAUUCUAAAAUUAUUUAUUGUGCUUUGGAAAAUAAAUUUCGGAGGUGGUCGGGGUAACAUAAUAAAGAUUGUUUCACUUUGAGGCAUUACUGUGAUUGGCAGGGGUAACAUAAUAAAGCGNCCUUGUUGCUGCUAUCACAGAAUCCCUUCUAUUAACAAUCUCNUCUCUUCGUUUCCAAACUCAAUCAAACAUUAAAUGGUUAAACAUUAAAAGUAGACAUAUCUACCAGCAAAAAAUCAAACAACCGAAAUCCAUGUGGUAAAAGAGUAAUACCUUUCACUUCAUCCAUCUCUUUAUAUCCAAGGCCAUGUAGAAGAGAGCGUAGAAGACGGUGGUGUUCGAAGAAGCCCCAAUUGAGAACCAGCACCAGGGGAAGGAACGCCUCCUAGACCACCUGCUUCCUCUCCGCAUCCCCUGCAGCCUCGCCACUGUCGUUCCCACCAUCUCUACACGGUGAAGGCUAGGGUUUCAGGAUAAGGCCAACGCGAAAUAGACAUGCAUAGUGGAGACUAGGGUUUUAAGGAUUUAAGUGAAAGAGAUUGAUUUUCUAAGGAGAAGAAACACAAGGUGGAGUGAAGGUUUAAGAGAGAAGAGGUGAAGUGAGGUGAAUUUGGGAUGUGAGAGACGGAAGCUCGAGAGAAGGUUCGAGUGAGGUGAAUUAGGAUCGACAUUUUCAGUAAAAGGGAUUAACCAAAAUUCAAUUUCUUUUAAAAAUAAUUUUUUAGAUCCGUAUGUAAU
rnacentral:lncRNA from 1 species